UCCCUGGUGGCUCAGACGGGGGUAAAGCAUCUGCCUGCAAUGUGGGAGACCCGGGUUCAAUCCCCGGGUUGGGAA
rnacentral:tRNA from 1 species